UUUAAUUGUAAAAUUUUGAAGUACCUCGUGUUUUAUUUUGAAAUUCAGGCUCUUAAUUUGGAAGUAUUAUUUUUAGCGGAAGUAAGUCCAACUGCUCCGUUUGCCAAACGUUAGAUUUGCUGAGUUUUAAAGUAAUUUUAAGCUCCUGGCUGACGUCAGACACGAGAAAACCGUCUGCUUCUUCUGGACUCCAUUUCCCAGAACCACCCGGGACCACGUCUAACAACUGGCAGCGGCGGCGGCCAUUUUCUAAGGUCAGAGGAAUGUCAAACUUCCUGCACAGAGGAGCAACAACAGGAAGCAGGAAACAGGUGUUGGCACAGGAGGAGGAAGGUUACAGGAAGUGGCUGCAUGUGGCAUCAACUUCCAGACAGCGAGGAACCAGAACCAGAACCAGAACCAAGACCGGUUGGGCUGGAAGAAGAUCCGACGAUAUUAAAACAUCACUGUAUUUCUCGUUGACGUUGCUACUAGCUAGCUGCUGCUAGCUGCUACUAGCUAGCGGCUACUAGCUAGCAGCUACUAGCAUGGCUUCAUCUGAUGAAAUCCUGAUUGAAAACACAUAAAUCGAUUUUUUUUCCCCCUUUUUGCGUUUCCAGCAGGAACAAUAAAUGGCUACAAAAUGAAAGACAAAACUAACAAUAAGCAGCACAAGUUGUUCAGAAAGAGGCAGGAAGCAUCGCCAUAGCAACCAGUAGCUGGACAUCUAAGGGUUGUUGAGCGACGUCGUACUGAACCGGAUCAACAGCAGCUGGGAAACGAGCAGCAAACGAAGAUCAGGUCUUAAAAUGAAAGCAGGGGAAAAAAAACAGUUUGUGUCAGAAAUCUAUAAAAAUGCAGAAUAAAAGCCUUUUUGGAGCAUAAAUCUGAUCUUUGAAGUGGUAAAAUCUCAUCUGGUUUCAUUCUUGUGAACGUCUCGUCAAAACUCAUCUCAUCUUCUGAGUGUCGCACUGUAAAAAACAACUUUCCUUCACGUAGAAAAGGCCUAAUUUUAAAGAGCAAUCAACAGACUCCUGCUGCUGCUGCUCUGUUGAAAAUGAAACCAGCGUCUUUGUCCUCACAGUUUUACAACACGAGGGACGAUGUUUCCUUUCACAUCAUCCUGCUGAUGCCUCCAAACAGGAAAUCGCAUCAUCAGAGGAGAAAAGACGCGACGGCGUCUCCAGGAUGCUUCAGGCGCUUCUGUACGAUUUAUGCAAAAAACACUAAAUAUUACAGAGAAUUUUUGGUCUGGUUUUUUUAGUUGGCACAUCUUAGCACACUUGAAAUAAGACAAAAACUAAUUUAUAAACAACUUUUCGGCAAGAUAUGGAGGCUUGUUUUAAGCCAAUAAUUCCAUAAUAUUGAUGAAAAAAGUUCUACUUCC